GAUGAACGCUAGCGGCAGGCCUAACACAUGCAAGUCGAGGGGUAGGGUAGCAAUACCUGAGACCGGCGCACGGGUGCGUAACGCGUAUGCAACCUACCUUUCACAGGGGAAUAGCCCAGAGAAAUUUGGAUUAAUGCCCCAUGGUAUAACGACCUGGCAUCAGGAUGUUAUUAAAGUUCCAACGGUGAAAGAUGGGCAUGCGUCCCAUUAGUUAGUUGGUAAGGUAACGGCUUACCAAGACGAUGAUGGGUAGGGGUCCUGAGAGGGAGAUCCCCCACACUGGUAUGGAGACACGGACCAGACUCCUACGGGAGGAAGCAGUGGGGAAUAUUGGACAAUGGGCGCAAGCCUGAUCCAGCCAUGCCGCGUGCAGGAAGACGGUCCUAUGGAUUGUAAACUGCUUUUGUACGGGAAGAAACACUCCGACGUGUCGGAGCUUGACGGUACCGUAAGAAUAAGGAUCGGCUAACUCCGUGCCAGCAGCCGCCGUAACAC
rnacentral:rRNA from 1 species